GACAGAGGGUGCAAACGUUGUUCGGAAUUACUGGGCGUAAAGCGCGUGUAGGCUGCUCGGAAAGUCGGAUGUGAAAGCCCUGGGCUCAACCUAGGAAGUGCAUUCGAAACUUCUGAGCUUGAGUAUCGGAGAGGGUCGCGGAAUUCUCGGUGUAGAGGUGAAAUUCGUAGAUAUCGAGAGGAACACCGGUGGCGAAGGCGGCGACCUGGACGGUAACUGACGCUGAGACGCGAAAGCGUGGGGAGCAAACAGG
rnacentral:rRNA from 1 species